rnacentral:rRNA from 1 species
UACGAAGGGGGCUAGCGUUGUUCGGAAUUACUGGGCGUAAAGCGCACGUAGGCGGACUAUUAAGUCAGGGGUGAAAUCCCGGGGCUCAACCCCGGAACUGCCUUUGAUACUGGUAGUCUCGAGUCCGGAAGAGGUGAGUGGAAUUCCGAGUGUAGAGGUGAAAUUCGUAGAUAUUCGGAGGAACACCAGUGGCGAAGGCGGCUAACUGGCCCAUUACUGACGCUGAGGCUCGAAAGCGUGGGGAGCAAACAGG